rnacentral:rRNA from 1 species
GUCUACGGCCAUGCCACCCUGAACAAGCCCAAUCCCGUCUGAUCUCAGAAGCUAAGCAGGGUCGGGUCUAGUUAGUACUUGGAUGGGAGACCUAAGAAUACCAGGUGCUGUAGGCG